CAUUAUACCGUGAAACUGCGAAUGGCUCAUUAAAUCAGUUAUCGUUUAUUUGAUAGUACCUUACUACUUGGAUACCCGUGGUAAUUCUAGAGCUAAUACAUGCUAAAAACCCCGACUUUUGGAGGGGUGUAUUUAUUAGAUAAAAAACCAAUGCCCUUCCGGGCUCUUUGGUGAUUCAUAAUAACUUAACAGAUCGCAUGGCCUUGCGCCGGCGACGGUUCAUUCAAAUUUCUGCCCUAUCAACUUUCGAUGGUAAGGUAUUGGCUUACCAUGGUUUCAACGGGUAACGGGGAAUUAGGGUUCGAUUCCGGAGAGGGAGCCUGAGAAACGGCUACCACAUCCAAGGAAGGCAGCAGGCGCGCAAAUUACCCAAUCCCGACACGGGGAGGUAGUGACAAUAAAUACUGAUACAGGGCUCUUUUGGGUCUUGUAAUCGGAAUGAGUACAAUUUAAACCUCUUAACGAGGAACAAUUGGAGGGCAAGUCUGGUGCCAGCAGCCGCGGUAAUUCCAGCUCCAAUAGCGUAUAUUAAAGUUGUUGCAGUUAAAAAGCUCGUAGUUGAAUCUUGGGCCUGGCUGGCCGGUCCGCCUCACCGCGUGCACUGGUCCGGCCGGGCCUUUCCUUCUGGAGAGCCCCAUGCCCUUCACUGGGUGUGCGGGGGAACCAGGACUUUUACUUUGAAAAAAUUAGAGUGUUCAAAGCAGGCCUUUGCUCGGAUACGUUAGCAUGGAAUAAUAGAAUAGGACGUGCGAUCCUAUUUUGUUGGUUUUUAGGACCGCCGUAAUGAUUAAUAGGGACAGUCGGGGGCAUCAGUAUUCAAUUGUCAGAGGUGAAAUUCUUGGAUUUAUUGAAGACUAACUACUGCGAAAGCAUUUGCCAAGGAUGUUUUCAUUAAUCAGUGAACGAAAGUUAGGGGAUCGAAGACGAUCAGAUACCGUCGUAGUCUUAACCGUAAACUAUGCCGACUAGGGAUCGGGCGAUGUUCCUUUGUUGACUCGCUCGGCACCUUUCGAGAAAUCAAAGUUUUU
rnacentral:rRNA from 1 species